AGUGUAGGCGGGAUUGUAAGUCAGAUGUGAAAACUAUGGGCUCAACUCAUAGACUGCAUUUGAAACUGCGAUUCUUGAGUGAAGUAGAGGUAAGCGGAAUUCCUAGUGUAGCGGUGAAAUGCGUAGAUAUUAGGAGGAACAUCAGUGGCGAAGGCGGCUUACUGGGCUUUAACUGACGCUGAGGCUCGAAAGCGUGGGGAGCAAACAGGAUUAGAUACCCCCGUA
rnacentral:rRNA from 1 species